rnacentral:rRNA from 1 species
CCUACGGGUGGCAGCAGUGAGGAAUAUUGGUCAAUGGCCGGGAGGCUGAACCAGCCAAGCCGCGUGAGGGAAGAAGGUCCUGUGGAUCGUAAACCUCUUUUGUCAGGGAGCAAAGUCUGGCACGUGUCCGAGGAGGAGAGUACCUGAAGAAAAAGCAUCGGCUAACUCCGUGCCAGCAGCCGCGGUAAUACGGAGGAUGCGAGCGUUAUCCGGAUGUAUUGGGUUUAAAGGGUGCGCAGGCGGUUUAUGAAGUCAGCGGUAAAAGCCCGGCGCUCAACUCCGGCCAGCCGUUGAAACUGGGGGUCUCGAGUAGGGGAGAAGUAUGCGGAAUGCGUGGUGUAGCGGUGAAAUGCAUAGAUAUCACGCAGAACUCCGAUUGCGAAGGCAGCAUGCCGGCUCCCGACUGACGCUGAGGCACGAAAGCGUGGGUAUCGAACAGGAUUAGAUACCCCAGUAGUC